rnacentral:tRNA from 6 species
GACCCUUUCAUCUAGUGGCCAAGGAUGCUACGUUUUCAUCGUAGUCACAGAGGUUCAAAUCCUCUAGGGGUCGCCA